rnacentral:rRNA from 1 species
UACGGAGGGUGCAAACGUUGCUCGGAAUCAUUGGGCGUAAAGCGCACGUAGGCGGACUGCUAAGUCGGAUGUGAAAGCCCUCGGCUUAACCGAGGAAGUGCAUUCGAAACUGACAGUCUUGAGUAUGGAAGAGGGUCGCGGAAUUCCCGGUGUAGAGGUGAAAUUCGUAGAUAUCUGGAGGAACACCGGUGGCGAAGGCGGCAUCCUGGACCGGUAUUGACGCUGAGGCGCGAAAGCCAGGGGAGCAAACGGG